rnacentral:rRNA from 1 species
AACGAACGCUGGCGGCAGGCUUAACACAUGCAAGUCGAGCGCCCCGCAAGGGGAGCGGCAGACGGGUGAGUAACGCGUGGGAAUCUACCCAUCUCUACGGAAUAACGCAUGGAAACGUGUGCUAAUACCGUAUACGUCCUUCGGGAGAAAGAUUUAUCGGAGAUGGAUGAGCCCGCGUUGGAUUAGCUAGUUGGUGGGGGAAAGGCCUACCAAGGCGACGAUCCAUCGCUGGUCUGAGAGGAUGAUCAGCCACACUGGGACUGAGACAAGGCCCAGCCUCCUACGGGAGGCAGCAGUGGGGAAUAUUGGACAAUGGGCGCAAGCCUGAUCCAGCCAUGCCGCGUGAGUGAUGAAGGCCCUAGGGUUGUAAAGCUCUUUCACCGGUGAAGAUAAUGACGGUAACCGGAGAAGAAGCCCCGGCUAACUUCGUGCCAGCCGCCGGCAGUAACAC